CGGGGUGUGGCUCAGCUUGGCUAGAGCGCCUGGUUUGGGACCAGGAGGUCGCAGGUUCGAAUCCUGUCACCC
rnacentral:tRNA from 1 species